rnacentral:lncRNA from 1 species
GUCUUUUGUCUUUUUAGGGCCGCACUCGUUGCAUAGGGAGGUUCCCAGGCUAGGGGUCAAAUCGGAGCUGUUGCUGCCAGCCUAUACCACAGCCACGGCAACAUGGGACCCGAGCUGCGUGUUACCUACACCACAGCUCACUGCAAUGCCGGGUCCUUAACCCACUUGAGCGAGGCCAGGGAUCGAACCUGCAACCUCAUGGUUUCUAGUCAGAUUCGCUUCUGCUGCGCCAUGACAGGAACUCCUCAAGAUGGUGAAUAUUGGUUACUUUAACCAAUUGCAGUGCUCUCAUGCUCUCUAUCCAAUAAUCUCUUUAGGCAGAGACAUGUAAUAUAAUUCUAGUCCAGAGAAGUGAGAUCUCUUGGGAACUUCUGGAAAAGCCACACUGCAGAGAGGUUUCCCUUUCUGCUUCUGCAUGUUGUCACCUGCAGGCACCCAGGACUGUAGUAACUAGGAGAGAAACCAGCCCCAACGGACAAGUCAACAUGCCUGGAAGAUGUAAGGAAGCUGGAUCGUUGGUGGCGUACCGUAUCUGUACGGCUCUAUUAACCAAUCCUGGAAACACCCACCCGAGGGCUUUGCGUUAUGCAGAAUGUGUAGUUUUAUUCAAGCCACUUUGUUUCCCAUUCUAGCCAGUUUAAAAAGAAGAACAAUUAAUUCAAGGUUGUCAUCAAAAACCCUCGGAAGGAUAAGGCUGAGCACUUUUCUUUUUCCCCUUUUUUGUCCACCCCAUGGUAUAUGGAGUUCCCUCCUGGGCCAGGGGUCAGAUCCGAGCUAUAGUUUUGACCUAAGCCACAGCUGCUGCAAUGCCGGAUCCUUAACCCAUUGUGCCGGGCCAUGGAUCAAACCUGUGUCUCAGCGCUCCCAAGAUGGCACUGAUUCUGUCGAUCCAUAGUGGGAACUCCAGAGCCAGCAGUUUCGAAAACCUCCUGUGGUUGCACACAGAAACUGUCAACUACAACCACGAAUUCUGUUAAGAGACUGUUUCUUCCCCUGUUGUCUUCUUGAUCAGAUUCUCAGGAUGGGGGGUGGGGGGUGGCUGGGGGAGCUCCAGAUCACAGCCAUGCUGGGGUGCAGCUUUUCUGAGCAAAAGUGAAACAGAAUUGAGUCAUCCUGGUUGCUAUUUAGGGUAGAAAGACUUGUAAUGUGGGAUUUGCCCAAACAUAGGAAGGAUACUCAAAAGGUCUAAAUUUGACAGGUGACCACGAAGGAUGAUGUCUUGGUGAGGGUGGAAUGCAGGAUGAUGUGGACAGCAAUUAAACAGGAAUAGCUCGGAGUUCCCGUUGUGGCAAGGCAGAAACGAAUCCUACUAGGAACCAUGAGGUUGCGGGUUGGAUCCCUGGCCUUGCUCAGUGGGUUAAGGAUCCGGCGUUGCUGUGAGCUGUGGUGUAGGUCACAGAAGCGGCUUGGAUCUGGUGUUGGUAUAGGUCAGCAGCUGUAGCUCUUAUUUGACCCCUGGCCUGGGAACAUACACAUGUUGUGGAGUUUUGUUGACUUUUGUCCCUGAGUUAUUUGUAAAAGCUCGUUUCUUCUUUUCAUGAGGGGGUGAAUCAAACUAGUGAAACAAACAAAAAAUGGACAUUUAAGAGAUUUGAAAAAAAAUUGUGAAAAAAAUCAAGCUAGUGAUAUGCCAGGGCUGUAUGUAUGAUUCCCAAUUGUGAGUUUUCUCAUAACUUAGAUGAAUAAUAAUAGCUUCCCUCUCUCAGGAUACUGAUGCAAGACCCAGCUCUAGCCAUGUGCUCUGAGUUACUUAUCUGAAAACAGGGAUGCCUUAGUGCUUUGCUACUUAAAUCCUGUUUGAGUGCCAGCAGAGUCAUUAACUUUUGGAAUCUCAGGUCCCACCCCAGACCUAAUGAAUCUAGAUCUGCAUUUUAACCGGGUUACCCAGGGACUCAUACGUACAUUUUAUUUCAUUUUCCCUUGUGACCAAUCAGCGCAGCUCUAAAGACCAGCCCCCACCUCCCCCCAGCCCCAGCCAUUAAGGAACCGACCUAAGUGCCAAGAUAGCCAGAGGAGGGCAUGUGACUCUUUUCCUUUCUAGCUCCCUCCCAUCUCCUGACAACACUUAGUGGGAGAAAUAACCAGGUCUGGAGGCUGGGAUUCUCCUGAUCUUCUCUCUUAACCAGUCAACAAAUAUUUGUUCGAGUUUAGUUAAGUGAAGUCUUAAGGGUCAGAAAAGGUCAACAUUAUCAUCCCUCAGGUUCCAGUUGAUUUGAAGGGGUGUUAAAAUUCUGCACAAUGGCUCAAGAAAGUGUUUCAGACCAGCCUUUCCCAUUGAAGCAGGACUGGGAGUCUUUACAACUGGUUAAUCAUCUUUGCUAUUGUCAUGUCUCUUGUCUGAUAAUGGUUUGUUCUUUUGUUCUCUUAAGAUGGUUAUUACUGAGACCUGUCCAAGGGCAAGCAUCAUGGCCAGGCUUAGAUCACAAAUGGCUUAGGCCAAAAAUGGCUUCUCUAAUGUCAGGAAAGCCUGGUUCUCUUUCUCCAGGAAUCCCUGCCCUGUCUGCUUACAAGACUAGGUUUUAAGAGACCUUUUAAUUAGCCAUAAAGAAAGAAAUCCUGCCAUUUCUAACAAUAUGAAUCAACUUUGAGGGCAUUACACUAAGUGAAAUAGGUUAGAGAAAGACAAAUACUGUAUGAUCUCAUGAGACAAACCUAAAAACCCCAUGAAUUUAUAGGAGUUCCCUGGUGGUGGCCUGUGGGUUAAGGAUCUGGUGUGGCUCAGGUCACUGCUAAGGCGCAGGUUUAUUUCCCAGGUCAGAAACUUCCACAUGCCAUGGGUGCUGCUGAAAGAAAAAAAAAAAAAAAGACUUUAAGGAAAUAGAGAAUAGUUGGUGGUUGCCAGGGCAGGGCUGAGAGGAGUGGGUGGAGGAGGUCACAGGGUAUAAACUUCUACUGUAAGAUUAGUAAGUUCUGGGGGUCCAAUGCACAGCAUAGUGACUGACUAUUUAUAUCAAGUCCGGGUUAGGGUGCUGGAGAGAAAAGCCACGUGGACAGAGCUACUUUGGAGGAUGAGAUGUCUCCAGUAGAGAGUGUCCACAUGAAGAAUGGAAGCAUUGAGGGUGAGAGCCCCUGGAGCCCAGACAUGAGUCAAUGUUGGAACUUGCAGCCCAGCGCAGCCCCAGCUGAGGGCAGCUGUUAUCAGGUGGGAAAGAGCCAAGAUGUCUUCUCUGAGCCUCGUCCAAAUUCUCGACCCACAGGAUUGGUGCUUUAAACUACUACAUUUUCAGUGGUUUGUUAGAUAGCAGAUAACUGAAAUGGUGCUGGUUUUUUUUUGGGGGGUGGGUUUCAAUGCCUCCCCCUUCCCCUGCAAAGAAUCAACUUCGAUCAGUUUUCUGAUUAGAAGUGCCUACAGUCUUUUCCUUACACUCCUCCUAUAUUCUUAAACUGGUGAAAUCAAACCAAAGUGAAUCCAAAUGGAGACACCAAAGGGGAAAAUGACUAACAGAUGUGCAGUAUGUGAAGGUGGCCAGCUCCUGAGUGUGUGUGACCCUGAGGGUAGGUGAAAGGGGAGCUGUAUCUACCUGUGUUCCAGGCUGGUGGGAACUAUGGGCUACACGUGUGCACGUGAGUCU